rnacentral:rRNA from 1 species
UAACCUGUUUUGUAAUUGAUGGUCCACAAUUUACCUUUCCUUUUUUUGAAUUUAUACCAGUCUGUAUACCGUCGUCGUCAGAUUACCUCUAAGAGAAAAAGUUAUCGACUAAAAAAGCUUUUCUUUUCAUGCUAUUACUAGCUUUGAUAAUGGAAUGUCCUCUAAACGUCAGAUCAAGGUGCAGCCCAUAACAAAGAAAUGAUGGGUU